rnacentral:rRNA from 1 species
CAGCAGCCGCGGUAAUACGAAGGGUGCAAGCGUUAAUCGGAAUUACUGGGCGUAAAGCGUGUGUAGGUGGUUGUUUAAGUCUGUCGUGAAAGCCCUGGGCUCAACCUGGGAAUUGCGAUGGAUACUGGGCGACUAGAGUGCGGUAGAGGAUAGUGGAAUUUCCGGUGUAGCAGUGAAAUGCGUAGAGAUCGGAAGGAACAUCUGUGGCGAAGGCGACUAUCUGGGCCAACACUGACACUGAGACACGAAAGCGUGGGGAGCAAACAGGAUUAGAUACCCCCGUAGUCCCUGUCUCUUAUAC